AGAGUUAAAAGUACGUGAAAUUGUCAAAAGGGAAACGAUUGAAGUCAGUCGUACCAACGGGAAAUCAGCCAUUUGAAGGGGGAUUUUGGGGUUUCAAAGAGUGUCAAAACCUUUGGGAUUUCAAAAUUCUUCUUCUUCUGGUGUACUUUCUCGUAGGUAGGUCAACAUCGAUUUUGAACAUCAUAAAAAGACUGGAGGAAUGUAGCUUCGAUCUCGUAUUGAAGUGUUAUAGCCUUUGGUAAAUGUGAUGAUCAAGAUCGAGGAUUGCAACGAAUAUCCUUUUGGGCUAUCCGUCUGAUCUCUGAUACGUUGCCUUGGUAUCGAAAGCUUGCUUAUGGUAUUAAGGUAUUACGGUCAAAAGGUUAGAGCGGAUUACAUUCGUUAAGGAUGUUGACGUAAUGGCUUUAAACGACC
rnacentral:rRNA from 1 species